rnacentral:rRNA from 1 species
UACGUAGGGGGCAAGCGUUGUCCGGAAUUAUUGGGCGUAAAGCGCGUGUAGGCGGCUCGGUAAGUCUGCUGUGAAAGUCCAGGGCUCAACCCUGGAACGCCGGUGGAUACUGUCGAGCUCGAGUCCGGAAGAGGCGAGUGGAAUUCCUGGUGUAGCGGUGAAAUGCGUAGAUAUCAGGAGGAACACCUGUGGCGAAAGCGGCGCACUGGACCACAACUGACGCUGAGGCGCGAAAGCUAGGGGAGCAAACAGG